GAAAUGAAAAUACUUCGUGCUAGAGGAUGAGAUAACGGGAAUUGGCCUGUUCCCGAUGGAUCCUCCUCCUCCUCCUGGUAAAUGGUAGAAAAUGAGGGGAACCGCAGUGAUGGGUAUGGAAGUCAGAGGGAUGUGCGUCAGACUGGUUUAUGUUGGGGAGCACCUCGCAGACAGACAGCAUGGCUUGGUGCAGAGAGACCUGCAAGCUGCACGAGGGAGCGGAAGAGGAACAGGGCCUGUCCGCCAUGAACGAUGCUGUGUGCAGUGCUUUAUUCAGGGAGGUGCUAAUGACGUCACCUUAGAGUGAUUAGUUCCUGCCUGGAUACAGGAAUGCUCACAAAGAACGGCUUUUGCAGUGGCAGUAGACACGGGGAUUGGCCCCGAGGUACCAUUUGCCAUCGAGUAGACUGCCUCGCCUCGAAGUGCGGUGGGCCCUGGCAGACGCCUGGGGGUUUCUAAGUCCUCCCCGGGAUCUUCUCAGGUUUUAGUCCUAUCCUGGUGAACACCUAGAAAUUAGUUAACAGGAGGGUGCUUCAUAAAAGGAGAGGAGAACAGAAGAAGGCCUUCCCAAGGGGCUGCUGUGUCAUAGACCUCCCCCAGAUGACUGUGGUCAGGCCUUCUGAGCUCCUUUGAACCCCUGGAGGUGAGAGAACGCGCAGAUACCAUCUGUAGAAGAGAACACAGAAACAUGGAGGUUGUCUGGUUGGUUUAAUCAUCUGGGCGUGACCAUACAGCGGGAGAAGGAUCCACACUGAAGCCUGUUUUCAGGAUGGAAGCUACCCCACCCUCAGGAGGCCUUUAGCAGGCACCCCAAUCUUCUGCUGCAUCUUCAAGGUGAUAUCAGGGUUUCACUCCUAUGUGAAAACCUGUGAGGGAGAGAAGAUGUGGACACUUCUUGUCAGAAGAAGAGAACAGAGGAACGAUGUUGUCUGUGUCCUCAGAAUCAUCCAGUUGAUUCUAGAAUGAUGGUCAUGUCAUCUGUGUCAUGGAUCCAUUGUAAUGUUAAAACCAAGCCACAGGCUGAAUGUCAUCAGUAAGUGGAACGAGAACCAUCCUGCUACCCUUGCGACAUUACAGCUGAAUGACUGCAUUUCACUCGGACACUGGAUGAGGUUCUGUUUUCCUCACACCAGCCUGCCAUUGGCUUGCACGUGGAAAAAGAAUAUGAUUCACAGAACUCCAACAUGUGGUUGGCCUAGGCACAUCUUCCUGCCAUGCCAGCCACAGGUGCUGUUGUGAAAGGCAGAAAGAAGGAAGACUCUUGCCAUUCAACCCUCUGUCUUCCAGGAGGUACAUUUGAGUCUGGAAACGUUAACUCAUCAAUCAUAACCAUCCUGUGAGGACAAAUAUGACCACUGUCACCUCAUUGCAGAUGAAGAAACUGAGGCCCAUAGAGAUUAAGUGACUUGCCCAAGAUCACACAGUUGGUGAGUGGCACAGCUGGGCCUCAAAGCUUGGCAAGCGAGCUCUGCAGGGCCUGCUCUCAGAUGCUUCCAUGCUGAAUGAGGUGGCAUCUCCCUGUACCCACCAGGGCAAACAUUGGAACACCCUGAACGUUUCCUCCUGGUAACCUAGCUCUGAUCAUCUCAAGCGUGAUUACAGGGACUCACAUUAGAAAUGCCUACGAAAGACUUCCUUAGGCCCUAUAUAAAUAUUAACAGUUCCACGACUUUUACUUUGCUUGAAGGGCUUUCCAUUAUUUAUAGAAUUGAGUCCAAAUUUUUUAUUCUGGCUUUCAAAGCCAUCAAAAGGUAAGUUGAGCCAGCCCUUCCAUGCUCUUCCCUGUUCUUCACAGGCUUAUUUCUGUCUUUAUAUGUUCAAGCUUGCUGAUUCCCCAAGCCUCUCCUCAAUUCCAGGCUCUUUCUGUGUCCUGCCUCCUCAAAGCAGCCUUCUCAGAUAAUGCCAGUGUAGUGUGCAUUGAUCUUUUUCUUCUCUGACCCUGACCUCUCAUAUCCCUUUCAAGGAUAAGUAGCUCAUGUUCCCCACUUGGUGAUAAAUUCCUUGAGGGCAGGAGCCAUGUCUUAUUUUGAGUGCAUAUGUUAUGUCUCCCCGGCACAUACAGGAGGUUCCUGACACACACAGGCAGUGGCUAGCAAUUUUUUUUCCUUUCCCCUGGAGUCUCGGCCUCGUGCUGGGCACAUGCUGGGCCUUCAUGAACACUUGUGGAUUUGUCUUAGAUGUGCAUAGCAUCUGUUCGAGCGUUCGGCACACAAUGAGCACUCCAUAGAUUGUAUUUUUAGAGACAAUCUGUUACCACAUAAGGACUACCAGAAAUUACUCAUACUCUUUGUGUAAAUGGAUUUAUACAAUUAUAAUGUUUAGGAGCUGAAAUAAAGAUGAGGGAAAGAAAAUCA
rnacentral:lncRNA from 12 species